rnacentral:rRNA from 1 species
AUAAGAGGUCCCGCCUGCCCUGUGACUAUAAGUUUAACGGCCGCGGUAUUUUGACCGUGCAAAGGUAGCGCAAUCACUUGUCUUUUAAAUGUAGACCUGUAUGAAUGGCAUCACGAGGGCUUAACUGUCUCCCUUUUCCUGUCAAUGAAAUUGAUCUCCCCGUGCAGAAGCGGGGAUACACCCAUAAGACGAGAAGACCCUAUGGAGCUUUAGGCUCCAGAAUAGAUUAUAUUUAACAUCCUAAAACAAAAGACAAAACUAAUUAACCCCUACUCUGCAUGCCUUUGGUUGGGGCGACCGCGGGGAAAUAAACAACCCCCAUGUGGACCAGGAGCACAUCCUCCCAAAACCCAGAACCACAUUUCCAAGUAACAGAACUUCUGACCAACUUAUGACCCGGCAUUCAGCCGAUCAACGAACCCAGUUACCCUAGGGAUAACAGCGCAAUCCUCUUCUAGAGCCCAUAUCGACAAGAGGGUUUACGACCUCGAUGUUGGAUCAGGACAUCCUAUUGGUGCAGCCGCUAUUAAGGGUUCGUUUGUUCAAAGAUU